rnacentral:rRNA from 1 species
CUACGGGAUGCUCCAGUGAGGAAUAUUGCACAAUGGGGGGAACCCUGAUGCAGCAACGCCGCGUGGAGGAUGACGCAUUUCGGUGUGUAAACUCCUUUUAUAUGUCAAGAAAAUGACGGUAGCAUAUGAAUAAGCACCGGCUAACUCCGUGCCAGCAGCCGCGGUAAUACGGAGGGUGCAAGCGUUACUCGGAAUCACUGGGCGAUAAAGGACGCGUGGGCGGGUUGGAAAGUCAGGUGUGAAAUCCUACAGCUUAACUGUAGAACUGCACUUGAAACUUCUAAUCUAGAGGAUGGGAGGGGGAGAUGGAAUUAGUGGUGUAGGGGUAAAAUUCGUAGAUAUCACUAGGAAUACCUAAAGCGAAGGCGAUCUCCUGGAACAUUACUGACGCUAAGGCGUGAAAGCGUGGGGAGCAAACAGGAUUAGAUACCCCGGUAGUC